rnacentral:rRNA from 1 species
UACGAAGGGGGCUAGCGUUGUUCGGAAUUACUGGGCGUAAAGCGCACGUAGGUGGCGACGUAAGUCGGGUGUGAAAGCCCCGGGCUCAACCUGGGAAUUGCAUUCGAGACUGCAUUGCUGGAGUACGGAAGAGGAGGGCGGAAUUCCCGGUGUAGCGGUGAAAUGCGUAGAUAUCGGGAGGAACAUCAGUGGCGAAGGCGGCCCUCUGGUCCAGUACUGACACUCAAGUGCGAAAGCGUGGGGAGCAAACAGA